rnacentral:rRNA from 1 species
UACGUAGGUGGCUAGCGUUGUCCGGAUUUACUGGGCGUAAAGAGCGCGCAGGCGGUCGUUCAAGUCGAGUGUGAAAGCCCCCGGCUCAACUGGGGAGGGUCACUCGAUACUGAUCGACUUGAAGGCGGGAGAGGGAAGCGGAAUUCCCGGUGUAGUGGUGAAAUGCGUAGAUAUCUGGAGGAACACCGGUGGCGAAGGCGGCGUCCUGGACCAACACUGACACUGAUGAGCGAAAGCCAGGGGAGCAAACGGG